UGUAAUUGGAAUGAUGGGAAUUUAAACCCCUUCCAAAGUAUCAAUUGGAGGGCAAGUCUGGUGCCAGCAGCCGCGGUAAUUCCAGCUCCAAUAGCGUAUAUUAAACUUGUUGCAGUUAUAAAGCUCCUAGUUGAAUUUCUGCUGCAUCGUGGUUCUUCGCUAUGUCGAGUGAUCUUCGUUGUGGCUUAGUUGGGGCAUGUUUUCAUGACUCGACGUUUAUUUUGAGAAAAUUAGAGUGCUUCAAGCAGGCUUUUGCCUUGAAUACUUUAGCAUGGAAUAAUGGAGUAGGACUUUGGUUCUAUUUUGUUGGUAUUAGGAGCCGGAGUAAUGGUUAAUAGGAACAGUUGGGGGCAUUCGUAUUUGACUGUCAGAGGUGAAAUUCUUAGAUUUGUCAAAGACGAACUACUGCGAAAUCAUUUGCCAAGGACGUUUCCAUUAAUG
rnacentral:rRNA from 1 species